GAAAUCACGUCCCUUUUAAACGAAAUUCUUUUCUCUCUCUCCAGCACUCGUUUCCAAGCACUCGCACCAAGCACAUCCGUGAGAUCUUCAAGACUUCUUAUCCCUUUGGUGUGUGUUCUUGCUUUCGUCAAGGCGGCAGAAAUGGCAAGAAUCUCCUUCGUGUUCGGGCUGCUCGUGGUGGCCUUCCUGGCGGCGGCAGAGGCCAGAUCGCCCAUCCCAGGCAUUUAUCCCGGAUCAGGAGGAUGCUCGACCGCAUGCACUUAUGAACUCGACCCUGUGUGUGGAAGCAACGGCAAAACUUACCCGAAUCCUUGCAGUUUGAAAGUGGCGAUGUGUUUCGACAGCGGGAUUUUUAAAAGGCAUCAUGGCGGUUGUUAUUAGGGAGCGCGGGGUUAUUUCUCUUUUUUGGGGGGUUAUUGUAUAGUCUCUUGUUUUGUCUCUCUCUCUUUAUCUGUUUUGUUGUUGUUGUUUUUCUCUCUCUCUCUCUUUAUCUGUUUUGUUUUUUUU
rnacentral:lncRNA from 1 species